rnacentral:rRNA from 1 species
ACUCCUACGGGAGGCAGCAGUGGGGAAUUUUGCGCAAUGGGGGAAACCCUGACGCAGCAACGCCGCGUGGAGGAUGAAGUCCCUUGGGAUGUAAACUCCUUCGAUCGGGACGAUAUGACG